AGUGAACGCUGGCGGUAGGCCUAACACAUGCAAGUCGAACGGCAGCACAGUAAGAGCUUGCUCUUACGGGUGGCGAGUGGCGGACGGGUGAGGAAUACAUCGGAAUCUACUUUUUCGUGGGGGAUAACGUAGGGAAACUUACGCUAAUACCGCAUACGACCUACGGGUGAAAGCAGGGGAUCUUCGGACCUUUCGCGAUUGAAUGAGCCGAUGUCGGAUUAGCUAGUUGGCGGGGUAAAGGCCCACCAAGGCGACGAUCCGUAGCUGGUCUGAGAGGGUGAUCAGCCACACUGGAACUGAGACACGGUCCAGACUCCUACGGGAGGCAGCAGUGGGGAAUAUUGGACAAUGGGCGCAAGCCUGAUCCAGCCAUACCGCGUGAGUGAAGAAGGUCUUCGGGUUGUAAAGCCCUUUUGUUGGGAAAGAAAAGCAGCAGGUUAAUACCCCGCUGUUCUGACGGUACCCAAAGAAUAAGCACCGGCUAACUUCGUG
rnacentral:rRNA from 1 species